UACGUAGGGGGCUAGCGUUGUCCGGAAUCAUUGGGCGUAAAGCGCGUGUAGGCGGUCCGGUAAGUCCGCUGUGAAAGUCGAGGGCUCAACCCUCGAAUGCCGGUGGAUACUGUCGGGCUAGAGUGCGGAAGAGGCGAGUGGAAUUCCUGGUGUAGCGGUGAAAUGCGCAGAUAUCAGGAGGAACACCAAUGGCGAAGGCAGCUCGCUGGGACGGUACUGACGCUGAGACGCGAAAGCGUGGGGAGCAAACGGG
rnacentral:rRNA from 1 species